CACGUAGGCACCAAGCGUUGUCCGGAUUUAUUGGGCGUAAAGAGCUCGUAGGCGGUUCGAUAAGUCGGGUGUGAAAACUUUGGGCUCAACCCAAAGCGUGCAUUCGAUACUGUUGUGACUAGAGUUCGGUAGGGGAGUGGGGAAUUCCUAGUGUAGCGGUGGAAUGCGCAGAUAUCAGGAGGAACACCGGUGGCGAAGGCGGGUCUCUGGGCAGUAACUGACGCUGAGGAGCGAAAGCGUGGGGAGCAAACAGG
rnacentral:rRNA from 1 species